UACGGGGGGAGCAAGCGUUGUUCGGAUUUACUGGGCGUAAAGGGCGCGUAGGCGGCGUGUUAAGUCAGCUGUGAAAUCUCCAAGCUUAACUUGGAACGGUCAGCUGAUACUGAUGUGCUAGAGUGCAGAAGGGGCAACCGGAAUUCUUGGUGUAGCGGUGAAAUGCGCAGAUAUCAAGAGGAACACCUGAGGUGAAGACGGGUUGCUGGGCUGACACUGACGCUGAGGCGCGAAAGCUAGGGUAGCAAACGGG
rnacentral:rRNA from 1 species